UGCGGACGGAAUUAUACUGGAUCGUGGAGUUUGCGCAUUAAGGAUGCCGAACAAAAUGCUUCUUCUGAUCGUUGUCCUUGUAACUCUCGAGGACCUUUGCUCAGCAAUGCCACCUCGUCCGAUAGACCCUCCUACUGGCUUUGGUCUUUGUCGGACCAAUAGUGCCGUACUUGCUGUAUGCCAGAAUUGCGCCAAGCUCACGAAACUUCACAAGGCGUUCCGGAUGUGCUGCAACGAUGAUCCUGGCAAUAGCACAGAGUCGGUGCUCUCAUUCUGUCAGAGGCUUCUAGCACAUUCUCCCAACUGAAGAACUGUCCUUUCAUCGAUCAAGUGGAGGAAAGAUAAUAGGACAUACGUCAUGAAACGCUGUCCUUAAACAGGGUGCCGGUCACAGGUUCUCGUCAAGUUGAAAACCUUGACUCGUUAACGAGUUGACACAAGCGCAGCAGUGAAUGCCGCUUCAAGGAUUGUUGAGGAGUUGACACAUUACAUGAAAUGCUACUGGGGUGUUUUUGCUCCUCGCAGAAGGCGUUGCAUGCAGCUACCCAAACAGAGCAAAAAUACAUUUUUCCGACGGACACAUAUAUCAGUCGUUCGUCCUCACAGGAUGUUACAUGGAGAUGUCUGGACGUUGCACGGACUUCCUUAUGUACGUACGUACACAGGUUGUGUGGAUAUACAAACAUUGGUACAGGAGAAGGACAUUUCUCUGGCGUUUUCGUGGAAAUCGAUCCCCUCUUUGUUUCUCUUACUUGCCAUGACGGAGAACGAGCUCGGUGUUUUAAAAAGCAAAAAGAGAGAAAUAUAAAAGCUCCUACAGGACCAUCAAGUCCAACAAAGGCAGUGCCUUCCGAAGAGAAAACAGAUACUGCUUGUCUUGCGAGCAUCCGCGAAUUCCAGAUACCUUCUCGCCUGUGAAUCGAAAUGAUGCGUUUAAUUCGAUUACGCACACAACAACGAAGUGAGAAAUUGCUGGGUGUAUUAACUUACCAUGAAGAUAACGCGUGUGUUUCUUACUGGUUUUUGGUUAGAAACGUCCAGUUUGUGCAUCGUAAGUGAAACUUGGAAGUGGCGCCCGUUUCUCUCUCUCUCCCGCAAUAAAUUACCCAAUCCCGUCAGGGAUCUAACCCGGACAAUUCUUGAAACAGCCGCGACAGGACAUGUUGCGGAUACAGGUCCUGGGAAGCUCCCAGUGAUGUCCGACGGGUCUAGAUUUCCGGACCUCGGGAUCCAUUUCGGACGUCCACAGGAGAAAGAGGGUAAAGUUACGUUUCAGUGGCUUUACCGUAAGGUGUUGCCUUCUUUGUCAUUGUCCAAACAGAAGAUGGUACUGGCGGUUAUCUAAAAGAAUGGCAAAGGACACACUCUAAACUUGCUAAGGAAACCUCUUCCAGACAACCUAAGCAUAGUUUCAUAUUUCUGACACCUCAAGUGUGAUAUUAGAAGUAGUAUUUAUUAAUUUAUUGUUUCCCUCGAAUCUUUGUUGAUUGUAGGCUAUAACGUGAAGAAGUGUACGACUGUAACACUCGCAUAUGUGCUGCUUCUAAUGUGCUACACCGAAGUCAUUGUAGUUUUAGACAUCGCCAUUUUUGGGGCAUUUGUUUUGCCUUGUCUAGUCUUAUUUAUUGUGUUUAUACACGAAAUGUGCGUGCCUCGUAUUGACGUAUUUGUCGUUUAUCAGUUUCAACUGAUCGUCGUCAUGCAUGGUUACUGUGUAACCCAGUUUUACUCCCAAUAUAUCACAUUCCAUGUCGUUCGUCAUCACUGUUUGGCUGUGUAGGCUUUUGAGAUACAUUCUCAGGGUUUCUGUUAUGGACUUGUAAUCCCUCAUUUACGACUGGAAAAUAUUGGAGAGCCCGCCUUAAUAAAUAUCUCGCUAUCUUUUUUAUUCGCCCCGAAGCAACUACGGCUAUGGCCGAAUCAGAAGGCCCAAAAUAAAGAGACAGAAUACUUAGGGUAAGCACACCUGCGGUGAAUGACCACUGAAGGGGAUUGCCCCUUUUUUAUAGGAUUAUGAAAAUAUUUUGUGGCUCUUGUAUUAGAAAUCAAAUAAUUGGAAUGCAUGGCAUUUGGUGCCGGGGAAUAGACUGGCUAGAGAAAGAGAGAGAAAAGCAAUAAUCUGUAACACGUGCACUACAAAGAGAAAGUGCCUGGUGGAUGAAUGCCUGUGAAUGGAGUUUGAGUUGGAAAAGAAAAAUAUGGAGAUGAUGGCUCCUCCAAAGCACUCGAAAAUAAAAAGAGUUAGAAAUGUAAAGAGUUAGAGGCGCUGCAAUGCCCACAAGAAAUGAAGGAAUUGUAGAGGAGAUGGUGUUUCUCUAUACAUUUGGUGACCCAAACGUGAUUGCCACUGCGUGCAAUAAACACGUACAAUAACGCA